rnacentral:tRNA from 3 species
CGCGGGGUGGAGCAGUUGGUAGCUCGUCGGGCUCAUAACCCGAAGGUCGUCAGUUCGAGUCUGGCCCCCGCAACAA